rnacentral:rRNA from 1 species
UACGUAGGGUGCGAGCGUUAAUCGGAAUUACUGGGCGUAAAGCGUGCGCAGGCGGUUAUGUAAGACAGGGGUGAAAUCCCCGGGCUUAACCUGGGAACUGCAUUUGUGACUGCAUAGCUAGAGUACGGUAGAGGGGGAUGGAAUUCCGCGUGUAGCAGUGAAAUGCGUAGAGAUGCGGAGGAACACCGAUGGCGAAGGCAGCCCCCUGGGCUAACACUGACGCUCAGGCACGAAAGCGUGGGGAGCAAACAGG